rnacentral:rRNA from 1 species
AGAGUUUGAUCAUGGCUCAGAUUGAAACGCUGGCGGCAGGCCUAACACAUGCAAGUCGAACGGUAACAGGAAGAAGCUUGCUUCUUUGCUGACGAGUGGCGGACGGGUGAGUAAUGUCUGGGAAACUGCCUGAUGGAGGGGGAUAACUACUGGAAACGGUAGCUAAUACCGCAUAACGUCGCAAGACCAAAGAGGGGGACCUUCGGGCCUCUUGCCAUCGGAUGUGCCCAGAUGGGAUUAGCUAGUAGGUGGGGUAACGGCUCACCUAGGCGACGAUCCCUAGCUGGUCUGAGAGGAUGACCAGCCACACUGGAACUGAGACACGGUCCAGACUCCUACGGGAGGCAGCAGUGGGGAAUAUUGCACAAUGGGCGCAAGCCUGAUGCAGCCAUGCCGCGUGUAUGAAGAAGGCCUUCGGGUUGUAAAGUACUUUCAGCGGGGAGGAAGGGAGUAAAGUUAAUACCUUUGCUCAUUGACGUUACCCGCAGAAGAAGCACCGGCUAACUCCGUGCCAGCAGCCGCGGUAAUACGGAGGGUGCAAGCGUUAAUCGGAAUUACUGGGCGUAAAGCGCACGCAGGCGGUUUGUUAAGUCAGAUGUGAAAUCCCCGGGCUCAACCUGGGAACUGCAUCUGAUACUGGCAAGCUUGAGUCUCGUAGAGGGGGGUAGAAUUCCAGGUGUAGCGGUGAAAUGCGUAGAGAUCUGGAGGAAUACCGGUGGCGAAGGCGGCCCCCUGGACGAAGACUGACGCUCAGGUGCGAAAGCGUGGGGAGCAAACAGGAUUAGAUACCCUGGUAGUCCACGCCGUAAACGAUGUCGACUUGGAGGUUGUGCCCUUGAGGCGUGGCUUCCGGAGCUAACGCGUUAAGUCGACCGCCUGGGGAGUACGGCCGCAAGGUUAAAACUCAAAUGAAUUGACGGGGGCCCGCACAAGCGGUGGAGCAUGUGGUUUAAUUCGAUGCAACGCGAAGAACCUUACCUGGUCUUGACAUCCACGGAAGUUUUCAGAGAUGAGAAUGUGCCUUCGGGAACCGUGAGACAGGUGCUGCAUGGCUGUCGUCAGCUCGUGUUGUGAAAUGUUGGGUUAAGUCCCGCAACGAGCGCAACCCUUAUCCUUUGUUGCCAGCGGUCCGGCCGGGAACUCAAAGGAGACUGCCAGUGAUAAACUGGAGGAAGGUGGGGAUGACGUCAAGUCAUCAUGGCCCUUACGACCAGGGCUACACACGUGCUACAAUGGCGCAUACAAAGAGAAGCGACCUCGCGAGAGCAAGCGGACCUCAUAAAGUGCGUCGUAGUCCGGAUUGGAGUCUGCAACUCGACUCCAUGAAGUCGGAAUCGCUAGUAAUCGUGGAUCAGAAUGCCACGGUGAAUACGUUCCCGGGCCUUGUACACACCGCCCGUCACACCAUGGGAGUGGGUUGCAAAAGAAGUAGGUAGCUUAACCUUCGGGAGGGCGCUUACCACUUUGUGAUUCAUGACUGGGGUGAAGUCGUAACAAGGUAACCGUAGGGGAACCUGCGGUUGGAUCACCU